UCAACCAUUGCACAGUUAAAUAAACCACUAGAAUAAAGUGAAUAAUUGGUGUGUGAAGUCUUGUGGUGUUCGUAACGCAUUUACACUGCGAAGCGCUCUGACCUUAGACCGAGCAAUUAAUCACCAAUAAAAAGAAAAAAAAAUAGUGAAUAAAAUAGAAGGGUGUGGACAUUCUUUGGGACCUUGGCUUUUAGUUGGACUUGAGUGACGGGGUGUUAGUUUUAAACUUUUACGAUUCUUGAUUGGGAUUCUGUGGGAGUAGUAGUUUUUGUCUUGUCUCAAUAAAAGAGCAUGCUUGCACACACUGGCACUCCACACUUGUAAAUAGAAGAGUAAUUGACUUAGUAGUGAGAGAGAUGAAAUUCGAGAACAUUAGCACAAUCUGAGG
rnacentral:lncRNA from 1 species